AUCAGGUAGAUGAGUGAUUUUCCUUGAUUAAAGGAACAAAAAUGUAAUUGGUUCUCUCCCCCUGCUGAGAUUUAAGGAAAAGCAGCCACUGAACACAGGUUGUGAUAGCUCGUUCCUGCCUGAAGCAAAGUCGUGAUGGCACCGGUGAGACGGACAGUAUAAACUGUGAAGGCAGCUCUGUAAGGUGCUGCUGAGAAGGCUAAGGCCAGCAGCCAUCAACCUAGGAAGAGAGAACAUGAGAUGGGAUGUACCAGAAAUGUGAAAAGAAAGGAAGAACAGACUGGCAUGUUUUGAAGCCUUCUCAAGGUAACUUAUCUACAAAUUAUGAAAGUGUCCCUUGUGAUAUGAGACUCCC